UUUUUGAGGGCCACUUAAUUUUUUGCUACUAGGUUUCUCACUUCACUUUCUCUCUCUCAAAUCCCCGCCUCUCUCUGAAUCCCUAGACUUCCUUCGUGCCUCUGGUCUCUCACAACCUCUCAACAAAGAUAGCUACAAAGGAACCAAGGCCAAGGGAAUCCUCAUCUCAUCAUCUAAGUCAUCUGUGUGCAUUGUCCAGUCCGCCUUUAUUUAUUUUCCAUUGUUACUUUCGUGAAUAUCCCUAACAAUCUAUUAUAACAUAGAUUUAAAAUAAAGUUAUCAACAUUAUAAAUUUGUAAAUACAAUACUCACGUCUAUCUCAAUCUCUAAGCUUUUUUGUUCUUAAAAAUAUCUUCUUCUAUUACUUAGAUUUUUAAAUAGUUUUGUUCUUAUAUAUAAUUUAAUUCUUUUAGUGAUUUUUUUCUUCUAGCACUACUGUAUGUAAGGAGUUAUGUUUUUUUAAAUAAAAAUUGAUGCUUCAGCGAAAUGGUAAGUGUUGAAUCUUGGAGUCUCUCCUUUUGUGCUUUCAACAUUUUAAGCUAGAAUUUAGCACUACUUUUGGAGUCUCUUUUGUAGAGGUAACUAUUAUAUCUUUCUGAAUUUUGAUUUGUUCUGUUGAUGUACUCUAAUAGUUAAAUGUUAGGGUUUUUAGAUUUGUUUCCUAAAUUAACAUUUUAGGAUAUUCUUAAUUUAGUAUUAAAUUUUAGGGAUUUUUAAUUUUUUGUUGUUUCUAAUAAUAUUUGUUUGUGCUGAGAGUGCACGAGAUGUAUUAUGAAGAAGUGGAGAGACACUUAGAGAGCAUUUAAAGUUUCACAAGCUUCUAAACUUUCAAUUCCAUUUUUUAUCAAUCCCAUAUGCUUAUAUAUCUAUUUGGGGUCAUAUAUGUGAAUUUAUGUAAGUAAUAUAUCCAUGCUUCUGCUAGAAAAAUGAAAAUAUUUAUAUUGCAUCUUUCCUUUAUGUAAUCGUUUAUUAACAUAUUAACAAGGUUAAUGUUGAUAUCUAGCAAGUGUAAUGAUUAAAUAUUUUCAGGUACUUUUACAUGCUUACCAAUUGUUUGUAGAUAGCCCUCCAGAGGUUGGCUUUAUAGAACCCUUCAAUUUUUUUAUUAACUUUAUUUAGAGUUUCCUAUUUCCUAAACCACUAAUAAAACUUAUGCUACUAGACACUAGUUGAUUAAUUUUUCUUUUUUUGCGUGUGUGUGUGAAGGCUUGCCUGCUAUGUGGCCAUGUGGGUACGGUGGCAAGCAUGGAUUGUACAUAAAACAAAUGGGCUCAUAAAAUGAUGUUGUAUCUGAGAUUAAAAUCUAAGCAUUUUGGUGUACAAAAGAAUCAUCUUAUAUUGUUUUCUUUUUGUCAUUAUGUUUCAUGAAGCAUCAUCUUAUAAUUUAACGUGAGACUAACAUUUGUGAAAAUAGAAGUGGUGUAAUAUUAUAUGCAUAUGCUAAGAGUAAAACAUGAUAGUUUUGUCAAAACAUUUUAUAGUGUACUUCAUUUAUGAUAACUAGAAGAACAAUGGUGGACAUAGAUGGGCCUUGUAUUAGUUUUAGAGGACAAGGGGACCAAUUUUCAGUACCUUUGUUUACGAGGAGGAAAUGUUUUUAUAAGUUUUUUUAAAGGUCUAGCUACUUAGUUUAGAAUAAUGUCUAUGGUAUAGAGAAAUGCAAAAUGAUAAUAUAUUUAUAGCCAUGAUAAUGACAAUUGUAAGACAAAGUAUAGUUAAAAAAACUUAUGAUCUUAUACUUUGAAAUAUGGUUUACUUUUCUUUUCUAUUAUUUUCUUCUUCUUAAAUAAUCAGUUAUCAUGCUAUGGAUUUCAUUUUUUUUAAUUAAUUGUUUUUAGGAAACUGCAUAGAUAUAUAGAGUAUUUUAACUUAAUUAAAAAUUGGUUCCAAUUCCAAAUAACGUUUUUCACAAUCCCUUAUUAGCAUAAAAUAGGCGAAUGCAGCUACUUUUCUUUUUUAUUUUAUUACUUACAAAUGAUUAUUUUAUUUUAUAUUUUAUAUUUUUGUUAAAAUAUGAAAUACGUGUAUGGGAAACAUAGUCCUGCAACAUGAAUUAGAUAGACCAAUCAUAGGAUGAGAUUAAAAAAAUAGUUUCUUAAUUGUAUUGGUGAAUGUUUAAUAUCAAUAUAUUAUUUUUCUAUAGGAAUAGACAAUCUUAUACCUGAAAUUUUGGAGCAGACUUUUAAGAAUGAUUGACUACGUGACAUGUAUCUUGGUCUUUCUCUAAAUUUCUUGCAUUACUUCCUAAUUGGGUCAUGAAUCUUGUUGCUUGACUUUUCGGUUCUAGCUUAGCUAGUACCAUGUUUGGUAUUAAAUUGUUGGAGGUCUCCAAAAUCAUUUGCUUCUAAAAGAACCAAAGUUUUAUAAUAUGGAAAGUUUGAAUAUCUUUGAGAAAUGACACAUCUUAAGAAGUUGACACUGUUUCAUGAAUGAUAAAGAUGAAUAAUAUUUUGUUUUCAUGUUUAGAUGAUAGAGUGUGCCACCAUUGCUUCUUUUGGAGUUGACACUAAGGCAACUGAUUAACUAUUUUUAUUUGACAGUCCACUUUUAUAUUCUUAAAAACAUUGCAUUUGUAAAUUUAUAAUUGUUGAUUUAUAUAUGGGGUUUCAAUUUUAUUUCCGGUGGAGUUAUGGAGUGGGGGAAGGUGGUGUCUUAUUUGUUGAUUGAAUGCAUAAGGUGUUUAAUUAUGCACACAUGGGGUUGUUUAGUUUUUUUUUUUAUGAUGUAUUAAAGGUGAUAAUUGACCUUUGAUCAUAAUGAUGAGAAUGAUUUACUGAAACAGGUCCUUGCAAUGUCAAUGGAUGAUCUUGCAUGUGACCAUAAUGUGCGAGAUAGAUACAUGAAAGGCAGAUGUUGAUGCUCCUGAAUUGGCCUUGGCAAUCUGAAACUUGGAAAAAGUUGCUCUCCAUCUACAUCACUUUGGAUAAAAGCAAGUCAAGACAAGUGGUUAUAUGCCUUGCAGAUAAAAGCAAGACAAGUAUUGAUUGUUAUGAAUCAAUUCUAAAUAAUUGUUUAUUAAAAUAUUUUUAUUCAAAAUUUCUUUUGUGUUAUGGGGUUGACCUAAUAGGCAGAGUUUCAAUUGACUUGAAAAGAUCUCGAAGUUUUUAUUUAUUUUUUUAAAUGGAACCUCUAGUAUCUUAAUGUACUUAGGCUCACCCAUUCGGGACAUGAAUAUUUGUAAUAUUAUUCAAUUAGUUAAUAAAAGUUGUAUUCACUUUCUAUUUA